GUGUGCUGUUCUGUUUCCAUUAUUGAAGUAAGAUGCCACUGCCAGUCCGAUGGGCUUCUGGCAAGUGGAACGGCACAGGUUUAAAAAUGGUGUAGAGCUGCCUCUUGAUAGUAAAUCUCGAUACAAAGUGAAGGUUGAGGGUAAAAAAACACACUCUAAUCAUCGAGGAAGGAACAAAGCCGACAAUGCAACUUAUUCAGUGAUGACAACGGGAGGACAAUCAUCUUGUAAACUAAAAGUUGACUUGAGGCCACUUAAGAUACUACAUCCGUUGGAAGACCAGACUGUGAGGCUUGGCAAAGAGCUCUCGC